GUCUCGAUAGCCGCCGUGUUUUCGCCGACGGUGGUC
rnacentral:scRNA from 1 species